rnacentral:pre_miRNA from 1 species
GAUUUUAACUGAAAAAGUCAUCAAUAACAAAGUUGUAUAACUUAUGAAGAUCUAUAACUUCUAUUUUGAUCAUUUCUUUAUCCGACAAAGUGAUUUGUAAGAUUAUUCACAAAAUAUACAUAUCUCUUAUAUAGUUUUAUAAACUAUUAGAGAGAUAUGUAAAUUUUGAACAAAUAUUACCGUCACUUUGUCGGAUGAAGAAAUGAUCAAAAUAGAAGUUAUAGAUCUUCAUAAGUUAUACAACUUUGUUAUUGAUGACUUUUUCAGUUGAAAUC